AGAGCAGUAGUAGAACAGCCCCUCAGAGUCUGAAAAGCAUCACAGGAGCCUCUGGAUAAAGAUACGCAUCCUCAGCAACAAGACUAUAGUAGAGAGGAUUACUGCUGAAUGGUGAAACAUGAAGCCUGUGAAACCUUAAGACUAAGUGGUGUGCAUGGUCAAGACCCAAACAAAUGUGAUGAAGCAGCAUGGAGCUAAGGAGAGGAAAGACCUUCAUAAAAUCGAGUUUGCAGCCGACUUCUGAGAAAGCGCCAUUGGUGGACGUGAUUCCUACAGACAAGGAUGAUCUAGGAAAAGACAAAAGUGUAGCAGUCGAGGGGAGCAAAAGUGAUGUGGUCCUACCGGCAAGAUUGGCCACACACAAAAAUGACCGAUUUUCUAAUACAACAGCAAGGAGCGGGGCUAGUGAAAACAUCUUAGCACCAUCUGGGUCUUCCUACAAACUGGUAAAAAAAAGUAAAACCCAUGACUGUGUGAUAGGGGUAGACAAAACAGAACGAUGCAGCCACAGUGAUAAAGCUUACAAGGAGGGCUUUUCAGCUCCAGAAAGAAGUAAAGGGCGACUCGUCAACAGCAGCAGCUUUUCCGGGGUGGGGAGUACCCUGAAUUCUAGUGGUAAGAAAGAGUCCAUGUUCAGCCCAAGCCAGUCCACUUGCAGCAGUCAGCAGAUGAUAGAUUACAGAAACUUUGUGCCACAGAUGCCUUUUGUACCAGCUGUAGCAAAAAGCAUUCCCAGGAAGAGGAUUUCCCUUAAGAGAUCUACAAAAGGGCUCCGGGAUAUAUUUCACAUGAAAAAAAACAAACCAGAGAGCCUAACACUGCUAGUUGAGAAGGGCAAGAGGCUGCCUUCUCCAGCGUGGAAGAGUGAGCUGUCAGGCAGGCUUGGGAAGUAUCUUUUCAAACCCAGAGAAACCUUUGCAGCUGACUGUUUGGCACAAGACCUCUCUGACAGCGAAAUGCAGUCUGAUUCCUCCUAUGACUACUGCAAUGCUCUGUGUGAAGAUGUCGCUUCUCUGAAGAGCUUUGACUCUCUCACUGGAUGUGGGGAAAUCUUUGCAGAUGAGAGCUCUGCUCAUUUGGAGCUGGAGAGCAGCAAAGAAGUGCUGGUGAGGCGAUCCAAGCACAAAGAGAGCCCUGCCCUGGGGUCUUUUCAAGGGGGGGUGGAACAGCUGGCAUCCCCUGCCCAAAAUGAAGCAGCUGACUUUGUGAAAUUUUGGGACAACAUCAACAAGUCGGUGCGAUUACAUCAGAGCGCGUUAUUUGAUAGGAAGUUGUUGAAGAUACCCAGUCCUGAUUUGGAAAAGACUAAACAUGAAGCUGCUGCUUCAGUGACUGACCUGCUGGUGUCACCUGAUAAAGAUCCUCACAGUUCCAAAGAAAGCUCCAUAGAUACAGGGACACCAAAAAGUGACCACCAAGAAUCCACCUCCACCAGCGAUGAAGGAUACUAUGAUUCAUUCUCUCCCGGGCAGGAUGAUGAAAUGAAGGAGGCUCAGACUCCUGGGGUUCCAGGUAGAUUUCCAAGAGACAGUUACAGUGGCGAUGCCCUUUAUGAACUAUUCUAUGAUCCUAAUGAAGCCAAAAUAAGCCCAGUCCUAGACGAUGAGCUGUGUAUGUCAGAAAGCAUUUCAGAACAGGCCAUUGAAAUCCCUUUGUCAAUUUACAGCUUUCACGUGGGAGCGGAGGAGAAUAUGGCUUCACAGCCAGCUGUUGACAUCAUUAGCCAAGGGUUUCUUCACAGCACAUGGAAAGGUAAGGAAUGCUUGUUAAAGCUCUGUGAUACUGAACUUUCACUGACCAUGGGGAUAAUAAACUGGCUGCGAAAAAACCCAGGGUUGGUUUCCCCCACAGACCCGAUUAGGAGUCCCGAAUCACAGCUGGAAAAAAGUGGUGAUCCAUUGGUCUCCUGUAGUCCCAGUCCAUGCCGGAGUGAGCACAUAGCAGCUGAGGAGGAAAAACAAACCAAGGGAGAAACUGAUAUUUCUAAUCCAAAUUCUUCUUUGGCUGAUAACAAUGACAUGUCCCAGACGUGUUUAGGGGGCGUGGCUGAAAAAGACCAAAAGGAAGUUUCUUGGCCUCAUACAGCUAAUGGGCAUUCUCAGGUAAGGGAGGAAAACUGCCCUGAGGACUCGUGUACUGAAUCUGGGCUUCAGGAAGCCAACAGCACAUCAGGUAAUGUGCCAAGAUCACAAGCUAUUGGAGACACUGUAGGGACCGGUUUGUCUGAAAAAGAGAAGAUGCCAGUUUCAGGAGAAUGCAAGGAACCUGGAGAUAAAGCCCCAUUAAUGGGUGACCUGAGCAUGGAGCCUGCUUGCCAGAGCUCUCAAAAUCCUUCGCUAAAUGAUAGCCAGGAAGUGGAAUCCUGUUAUUCUUAUAUGACUGCAGCAACUUCCCCAGUAGAUUCCCUAGAGACAGCAGUUGGCAAUAAAACAAUAUAUCAUUCUUUGUCUAUUUCCUGCGACAAGCCAAUGCAGCCUCUUACUCUGAGACACUUUCAAAACUACAUCAGCCCCACACAAAGGGAAAGUGACACUACUAUAGUGCAGCUUCUGGAACGUUGUGUCACUCAAGUUGCAUCCUUAAAAAUCAGCUAUGAAAACAAACAUCUGGAAGACAAAUGCAUCGGGAAUGAAAUGAACAACAUAAUUUGUAAGAUGUCUCAAUACAAAAACAAAAUAUUGUUGCAAAAUGAAUGCAACUGUAUCACCCAGAGUUUAGAAUAUCCUGGUCUCCCUCACACAAACCAAGAUAAUUAUGAGGCAAGCCUCAAAGCCAGUAAUCCAUAUCAGUUGAAACAAAAUAAGGAACUAAUUUGCUCUAAAGAUCAGAAACACAGAACAAAUAUCCUAGAUCAUAUGAGUCAGGUCACCGGGAAUAAGAUAAAUUUUGAAUAUGCCCAUCUAAAUAAUCAAGCCCUCUCUUACAUAAAAGACUUCAGACUUGAACCCAGUCCAAGUGACUCUAACAGUAUGACACCCCUUACUAGGCCAACAUUUUUACCUCUCUUCAACUCCGUUUGCUCGGCUGUACCCAGUGAUUUUUCCCAAACCUGCACAAACAGUUCACUGGACAAACCAUUGCAAAGUAAUGAAUCUAAGCAGUGCAGCACAAUCUCAUGCAGUUACACAGAGGGAUACUACCAAGGUCUAUUUGAAGGGGCCACUCUUCCUAGUACCCCAGAGGUGACAACCACAGAAAGAGCAGGGACUGGCAAGAACCAUCAAUGACACACCACUGUAACAAGGUACAACACUGAAGAAACCAGUUGUAAAUAAUGAUGGCUUCCCACCUGUGUGUUUAAAUGAAGCAAGUCACAAUGAGGCCAAGCUGGUGUCAUAAGCAACAAGGAUUUCUCACCAAGGGACCCAGUGGAGACCGUACAGGGGAAAAAUCAUCCUACUCUGUCAUCUUAACAACAAAUAUUGUUGGAGCUUAGGACACACACCCUUGAAUCCAGAUUGUUUAGCCAGUGAGGCAAAGGACCUGACCAGAUGCUGAGCUGAGCGUCCUCAGCUUUUGUGAAUGAUGAGGGCACUCAUCACCGAACAAAAUUGGCCCUUAACUACAUAACACUAAGAGCAAGCGGUGGAACUGAUGCAGUCAGAAAUUUUAGACAUGUGCAUGCAAGGUAAGUGUUCCUUAGAAGACUGGGUUAUUAAAAAGGAUGGGUGGGUGUUGUGAAUACGCAAAAAGGCCUUAUUUUGGCCUGUCUCACAUCUGGUAUUUAUCUUCUAUGUUAUUGUUCUUGCUAAGUUACAAGGUCACUGGUAGGUGAAUAUUGGUUUAAAGAUGCACAGCAAAGAUGCAAUUAGAUUGAGGCACAUUUAAGAGCAGUAAAAAAAAAAAAAAAUAGAAGCAUUGACAUUUCCCCUGCUAUGGAAAAGGAAAAAAUACUGGUGGUAGCUUUGCUAGGGAAAAGUGUGCAUGGAUGCCCCGUGCAAACAGAAGAUUCUCUGCGAAGUUGUUCAGCUGAAGAAUGGAUUUUGCAGUAGAAAAUCUGAAAUGCACAUUAUUUCUAAACCAUGGACUGCAGAGUUGUUGAAUACUUCAGUAUUGAUUGAAUUGUAGAUUGAAUAGAUUGAAUGUAAUUAAGCUACACACAUUUAUAUGCUAUGACUACUAUAUUUGUUAACUCUUUUUCUGUCAUAUCUGAUGUAUAGUAUUAGGCUUUGUGUAUUAUAUUUUAGUUACCAUAAUCUACAUUGCAUAUUAAAAUCACUUGAAUCCUAUGUUAUGUAUGGCUUCUUUUCAACAUCAUUUUAUUUAUUUACUUUACAUACCAUUUAUAAUUCACCAUUUUCCAGCUUAUCAGUUUUAUUUAAAUCUCUCAUUUAUUUCCUUCUCUACAGUAUGGCCUUUAGCACACGCAAAAUGCAGCCCUUUCCCUUCAAUCUCUUCUCUGGGUAGAAGUGCAUGUGCUUUUGUACACAGUAGUCAUCUGACACAUAAGGUUUUCGGAUGGCAGAACACCAGUUUAGUAUAAUUUAAUCUAUAGGAAACUAGCUAAUUCCUAGGUGCAAGCCACCUGGUUAGAGCCUUGCACAGACACAACAUUUGGAACUGCAUCUGAUCGGCGAUCUGCAAAAAUGGUCCACUGAUAUCUGCAGAUUUGCAGGGCUCUACACAUGGGAACUGGAUAAUUUUCUAAAGUUUCGCAGCUGUGCCUGAGAAGAGGGAAGUUUUCUGACCACUGGGAGGCAGUGCAUGUCAAAACACUUGAAAGGAGCCAGUCUCAAUUUACCUAGUCAAAGAAACCUUCCUCCCAACCCUAUACAACCCUAUGGUAGCAAGUACUACAUCUGGUAGUAGGUUAUUUUAUAAACUAGUUAGUUAGCAGACACUCAUUUUCCAACCUGUCUACUAUAAAUGCCUAGUGCAUUUUUAAGUGCCAUGUUAAUUAUACUUACAUUUUAAUUAAAAAGAUUUUUUAUUCUUCUUUGAAGGAGGAAAAUACAAGAAAUUAAGACUUGGAUACUGUGUAAGGGAUCACAGAUUGGAAAUCCAAGUAUAUACACACAGGCCUUUUCCCAUCUUUCUAAUUGUGGAACUCCCAUUAAAGUUAAUGAGAGUUCUGCAUACAGAAAAAUGGCAAAGGAUCAGAUAGGGAAAAUGAAGGAGAAUAUACUCUAAUAUGGCAUAUUACAAUUGUUGGAGGUGCUAUAACAUAGAAUUUGUGAAUAAAAUUCUGCUUUCAGAAACCCAUAUGUACAUAUGUGCAUUGGAGAGCCAAAUGAGAAUUUGAGCAAAAAUGCUUUUCUAAGUUGAAAUACUGCAUUUCUCAAGUUACUUUUGUAUCUGAUAUUUGCAGUGUGCAUAAAGACCCACAUAAAUAUGGUAGCUUUAGAAAUAAAAGCAACAUUUUAACACGGAGCAGUAGGAGUCAAUAGAAAUGUCCCUUCAGGUUUGAACACAAAGUAAUGAUUAAGAGUUAACUGCUGGAGAAUUGUUAGGUUUUGCUGUCUAAGACUCUUUCCAUACUGUGCCCCUCCAUUGUCUCAGAAUCACAUAGGGCCAAGUGGGGAAGAGUGCAGAGGCCACCUGGACAUUCACACUUUGACUAAUUUAAUGUAUAUUUUAGGGCUGUCAAUUAAUCACAGUUAACUCAUGUGAUUAACUAAAAAAAAUUAAUCAUGAUUAAAAAAUUAAUCACGAUUAAUCACAUUUAUAACAAUAGAACACCAAUUGAAAUUUAUUACAUAUUCUUGGAUGUUUUUCUACAUUUUCAAUAUUGAUUUCAAUUACAACACAGAAAACAAAGUGUACACUGCUCACUUUAUAUGAUUAUUUUUUAUUACAAACAUAUGCACUGUAAAAAGGAUAAACAAAAGAAACAGUAUUUUUCAAUUGACCUCAUACAAGUACCAAAGUGGAAUCUCUUUAUCCUGAAAGUGCAACUUACAAAUGCAGGUGUUUUUUGGUUACAUAACUGUACUCAAAAACAAAACAGUAUAAAACUUUAGCGCCUACAAGUCCACUCAGUCCUACUUCUUAUUCUGCAAUCGCUAAGACAAACAAGUUUAUUUACCUUGACAGGAGAUAAUGCUGCCCACUUCUGAUUUACAAUGUCAGAUUUACAAUGUGAGAACAGGCUUUUGCAUGGGACUUUUGUAGUGGCGUUGCAAGGUAUUUACAUGCCAGAUAUGCUAAACAUUCGUAUGCCCCUUCAUGGUUCUGCCACCAUUCCAGAGGACAUGCUUCCAUCCUGUUGAUGCUCGUUAAAAAAAUUAUGCAUCAAUUAAAUUUGUGACUGUACUCCUUCGGGGAGAAUUUUAUAUUCCCUGCUCUGUUUUACCUGCAUUCUGCCAUAUAUUUCAUGUUAUAGCAGCCUCGGAUGAUGUCACAUGUUGUUGAACAGCAUGAUUAAUCGUGAUUAAUUUUUUUAAUCACUUGACAGACCUCGUAUAAUUGCUUUCAUGCAGCCUGCAGUCCCAUCCUGUGAUGUCCUGAGCACCCAAAAAUCCCACUGAAAGUGAAUGGGCAUUGAGGAUGGUUAGCAUCUCUCAGAACUGAAGCCUUAAAGUCUAAUCAUGUUAAGAGUAUUUAAAUGGCUUCAGUGGGAAGCAUUUUCUCAUCCAUUUAUGGAGGAUUUACAUCAACAAUUUACUGUAAAGCUAACAUGAAUGUGUAUGUCUAUUAAUGGUAAUGAGGAGCUAAACAUGCAAAUCUCACACACCUGGAUGGAAGACUGCAAAUUCUCCCAUGCUGGAACAUUAAAAACAUUGAAAGCUGGACACAACAUUCAAUAUAAUGUAAUAAUAAUGAGUGUAAUGCAAGAAAGUGCUGAACACCCUAAAAUUCCAUUAGUGGGUCUUCAACAGUAGUUGAGAGCACUCAGAACCUUGCAAAACCAGGGCUAAUGGUAGAUGCUGUAAUACAAAGAGAAAGGUGCAAUGAAGCUGGCGGCAUGGUAAUCAGAGAGCACCUUUCUUGUCCCUUAUGGAAAAGACAAAGGCACACAUUGCUAUGACUGUGAGUUAGCUGAAUAAGCAGCACACAAGAAAAUGUGUGUUUGUAUUACGGUGCACAAAGGAUGUGUCUGAGAACUGUCCUCUGUGCUCAUGUACAGUAUGUAUUUUCUGCAUGAAAAGAACUGCACAGAUUCGCUAGGCAGAGCGAUUGUGUAAAAGUAGAAUGCGAUAGUAUUCAGCUCCGUAAUGAAGUUAUAUAUUUUGCUUACUUGCAUGUUACAGCAAACCUUUAUGUAAAUGCAUCCCAGGGAGCAAUCUGUAAAAACAAAACUGAUAUUUACAAAACAUACUGUAAAUUUUAAAAAAUCUCAGACUUUUUCAAAUGAAUUUUUUUGUGUCUCUGUAAUUUGAAUUAACUUAUAUCACUGUAUUAAUAACUUGCCAUAAGUGCUGUAUGUGUCAUUUGGAUACUCUUAUACUUGCCUUGCGUUUAUGUGGUUCAAAUACAAUAAAACAAGAGGGCUCAAGAACAAGACCCAAUGGAACAGCAUCCACAGUUGAAAAAUUGCUAAUUUGUUUUUGAAAAGCUGUCCAGCCUUGAUGUUCUUCUAGGCAAUCAUUAUCUUCUAAAAAAUCACUGGUUAGAAUUGUACCAAAAAAUCUGAGCCCUGUCUGGAUCAAUAUUUUGAACUUAUUUAAGUAGCAUUUGUAAUUCCAAGGUACAUUUUGUGCUGCUUUUGAAUGCUGUUUUCCAACAUGUUGUUUCUUAAAGAGUAAAUGGAUGUUUUAUUUGUU